GUGUGAACCAGGAGGGAGCAUGAAGAGGAUGAAAGGUCCCUGAAGGGAAGCCAGAGUCUCUCAGACUACAAAGGAAUCUGGAAGGAUUUGAUAGCUGAGGCUUUUCUUGUCGCAAGAACAAAGGGUAAGUAGCUAUCUCUUUCAGCAGCCUAGAGAGGCUUCUAGCCAAGGCUGAGAGAUUAAGAGAAGCUACCUGGC
rnacentral:lncRNA from 1 species